rnacentral:rRNA from 1 species
AGUGAACGCUGGCGGUAGGCCUAACACAUGCAAGUCGAACGGCAGCACAGUAAGAGCUUGCUCUUACGGGUGGCGAGUGGCGGACGGGUGAGGAAUACAUCGGAAUCUACUUUUUCGUGGGGGAUAACGUAGGGAAACUUACGCUAAUACCGCAUACGACCUACGGGUGAAAGCAGGGGAUCUUCUGACCUUGCGCGAUUGAAUGAGCCGAUGUCGGAUUAGCUAGUUGGCCGGGUAAAGGCCCACCAAGUCGACGAUCCGUAGCCGGUCUGAGAGGAUGGUCGGCCACCCUGGAACUGGGACACGGUCCAGACUCCUACGAGAGGCAGCAGUGGGGAAUAUUAGGCAAUGGGCGCGAGCCUGAUCCAGCCAUAGCGCGUGGGUGACGACAGCCUUCGGGUUGUAAAGCCCUUUUGUUGGGAAAGAAAAGCAGCAGGUUAAGACCCCGCUGUUCUGACGGUACUCAAAGAAUAAGCACCGGCUAACUUCGUG